UACGUAGGGUGCGAGCGUUAAUCGGAAUCACUGGGCGUAAAGCGCACGUAGGCGGGUCUUUAAGUCAGGGGUGAAAUCCUGGAGCUCAACUCCAGAACUGCCUUUGAUACUGAGGAUCUCGAGUCCGGGAGAGGUGAGUGGAACUCCGAGUGUAGAGGUGAAAUUCGUAGAUAUUCGGAAGAACACCAGUGGCGAAGGCGGCUCACUGGCCCGGUACUGACGCUGAUGUGCGAAAGCGUGGGGAGCAAACAGG
rnacentral:rRNA from 1 species